rnacentral:rRNA from 1 species
CCACCUGAUCCCAUGCCGAACUCAGAAGUGAAACGCAGUAGCGCCGAUGGUAGUGUGGGGUUUCCCCAUGUGAGAGUAGGACAUCGCCAGGC